ACGACCCGAAGGGCGAAGCGCGCAGCGCUGAGUCAUCCUUCCCCCACCACCA
rnacentral:sRNA from 12 species